rnacentral:rRNA from 1 species
UUCUCGAAUUUAAAAGAGUUAAUUAAUUAAAAAAUUUAUUGUAGCAAAAAUAUUUUUCAUAAUUAAUUAGAAAUGAAAUGUUAAUCGUUUUUAAAUAUAUCUAGUUUUUUUAGAAAAAAAUUUAAUUUUAAAUUAAAUUAAUUAAAAAAUUAAUUAAAAAAUUUUUUAAAAUUUAAAUUUAAUAUUUUAAGGGAUAAGCUUUAAUUUAAAAUAUUUAUAAUUAAAUAUUAAAUUUUUUGAAAAUUUUAAAAUUUAUAUUGUUUAAAAAUUAUAAUUUUUUAUAAAUAAUUUCAUAAAAAAUAAAAUUUAAUUUUAAUUUAAUUUAUUAUAAAAAAAUAAAAUUUAAAAAAAUAAUUUUAGUUAUAAUGAUAAAAUUAGUAUAUAAAUUUUAUUUAAUUAAUAUUAUAAAAUAUUUUUAAAUGAAAAAUUAAUUAUAAGGAAUUCGGCAAAAAUUUAUAUUCACUUGUUUAUCAAAAACAUGUCUUUUUGAAAUAAUUUAAAGUCUAAUCUGCCCACUGAUGAAAAUUGAAGGGCUGCAGUAUUUUGACUGUACAAAGGUAGCAUAAUCAUUAGUCUCUUAAUUGGUGACUUGUAUGAAAGAUUGGAUGAGAUAUAAGCUGUCUUAUUUUUAUUUAUAGAAUUUAAUUUUUU